ACUGGAGUGGCCUUCCUUACCCGCUUAAACUUACCAAUGAUGCCCGACUUUUAGUGUGGCUUAUCCCCAUAUGUUCCCACACUCCCACUGGGACCUAACAUUUGCAGGCGCUAUUUAUCAUUCUGGCUAGUGGUGUGCUCAUCUGCCUACCUCGCUAAGCAGCCCUUGUUGUUAUUUUUAUAAUUACUGGGAGUCUUUUUCAUGUUGCACUCUGCCAGAGCUCCAGCUUACCACACACCUGUUAUACUCGGGACACAUGGAGAGAAGGGGGUGGGUCUGGCAGUGGAGGAAAGGGGAAGACAGCCUUCCUGCUCACUACGAAAAGCAAAAUCAAGAAUGAAGACACUGACCAGAAGCCACUAGCUUACUUAGUCAUCAUAAUGACCAACACUGUAUAUCAUCAUCCCCAUUCUACAGAUGAGAAAACUGAAACAGAGACAAGUUAAGUACCUUGCCAUUGGGCUCACAGAUGGCAAGUGGCAGAUUUGGACCGCACUGCAUUCUAAUCAACAUCCCUGCCAUGCACAGACGUCAUCCUCACCACAGCCAGCACGCCUCCUUCUCCACCUCUGCCAGGACCUUCACCACCACUACCAGUAUAAAAGUAUUGACUGAGCCUUCUGUUUGCUGGGCGCUUUGCGGAGUGCUCUGCAGAUUGUCUCAUGCUGUAUUCACAACAACCCUAUGUUACUGAUCCUGUUAUUACCUCUACCUCACAAAUGUGGAAACUAAGCUUCGGAGAAGCGAAGAAAUCUGUCCCUGCACCUGGUCAGAGGUCCGCAAGAUUCACGAUGUGUUUAAGAUCCGCAGCCAGUUUUGCCUGACACCUGUGAGAAUGCAUUUAACUCCUGCGCUCCCUUUUCAGGAGAUGGCAGGUGGAGGCAUUGCCCACUGGGCAUUUCGUCAAACUGGCUCCCUGCUCCUCACCCACCAUAUUGGAAGUUCGUUGCUAGGAUGUGAGAGACCACCCCGUGGAGCUGGGAUACGACUUUGCAUGUGGUAACUCUGCUACCAAACAAUGUGUAAGACCAGCUGCUGAGAUUCUGAGCUCUGGCCAAGUAACAUCCGGGAGCUUUGGCCUGACAUCUGCUGAAGCUGGCCUGUAAUUCUCUUUGGUUAAGCCCCAUGCACCCCAGGUCAGUCUCUUCUGAGACAUCACCAUCCUCACCAAAGCCCUCAGAUGUCCCCUCCAGUGUGUUCCGUUUGUUCUCCUUUGACUGAACACCAGCUCUGGGGGAAUGAAGGGGUGUCACAAAGAAUAUCAGGCUUGUUUUUCAAAACUUUCACACCUGUCCAUCUCUUCUGUCAACUCUCAGACCAGGUGACCAUCAUCACGUACCGGAAUUAUUACUGUGGCCUCCUACCUGCUUUCAAUCUUGUCCCCCUCUAAUCUAUUCUCCACAGAGCAGCCACACUGGUGUUUUUGAAGGCUAAGCUCAAUCAUAUCUGUCCUCUGCUUAGAGUUCUUAGUGUUAUUUCUCCUCCCUUUUAAUUUCUUUUGGAGUAAAAUCCAACCUUCCCCCCAUCAGUGCUUCUAAGCCCCUGUGGUUUCUUUCUGGCCCCUCUCUGCCUCUUUCCCUUCUCCCAUGGUGCUCCAGGUUCGCUGGCCUCUGCUCAGGUAACUGAGAACACCGAGCCAUGGUACGGCCGGCAUACAUACCCUCCGCCUCAGUAUGCCCGCUCUCUGCCACUCCAACCCCUGCCUCUUCCCAGCUUCCUCAUCUCAGCUUUAAUGUCACUUCCUCACAGACAGUCCUCUUCAUCCUUGAAUGCAACCCCCACUAUUUUCGGCGGACCCAACUUUUUUUUUUUUUUCUUUCAGAGCACUUACCACAACUUGCGAUACAAAUUUGUAUGGGGAUUGCCUGCUUAUUACCUGUCUUCCCCAGAAACCUGUAAGCUCCAUGAAGGAAAAUGAAGUUGGUUUCCUUGUCUCUGUACCCUCAGUGACUAACUCAAUUUCUGAGGCAGGAGCAGAGGCUAAAUAAAUAUUUGUUGAAUGAA